rnacentral:rRNA from 1 species
CCUACGGGUGGCAGCAGUGAGGAAUAUUGGUCAAUGGGCGCGAGCCUGAACCAGCCAAGUAGCGUGAAGGAUGAAUGCCCUACGGGUUGUAAACUUCUUUUAUAAAGGAAUAAAGUGAGGCACGUGUGCCUUUUUUUAUGUACUUUAUGAAUAAGGAUCGGCUAACGCCGGGCCCGCAGCCGCGGUACUACGGAGGGUCCGAUCUUUAUCCGGAUUUAUUGGGUUUAAAUGGAGCGUAGAUGGGUUGUUAAGUCAGUUGUGAAAGUUUGCGGCUCAACCGGAAAAUUGCAAUUGAUACUGGCAGUCUUGAGGACAGGUGAGGGAGGCAGAAUUCGUGGUGUAGCGGUGAAAUGCUUAGAUAUCACGAAGAACUCCGAUUGCGAAGGCAGCUUACUAAGCUGCCACUGACAUUGAUGCGCGAAAGUGUGGGGAUCAAACAGGAUUAGAUACCCCAGUAGUC